rnacentral:tRNA from 1 species
GCCGAUGUAGCUCAGCUGGUAGAGCAACUCCAUGGUNNGUCGCCGGUUCAAUUCCGGCCAUCGGCUCCA